rnacentral:rRNA from 1 species
AGUUGUAUCCUGGCUCAGAACGAACGCUGGCGGCAGGCCUAACACAUGCAAGUCGAGCGAGACCUUCGGGUCUAGCGGCGGACGGGUUAGUAACGCGUGGGAACGUGCCCUUCUCUGCGGAAUAGCCACUGGAAACGGUGAGUAAUACCGCAUACGCCCUUCGGGGGAAAGAUUUAUCGGAGAAGGAUCGGCCCGCGUUAGAUUAGAUAGUUGGUGGGGUAAUGGCCUACCAAGUCUACGAUCUAUAGCUGGUUUUAGAGGAUGAUCAGCAACACUGGGACUGAGACACGGCCCAGACUCCUACGGGAGGCAGCAGUGGGGAAUCUUAGACAAUGGGCGCAAGCCUGAUCUAGCCAUGCCGCGUGUGUGAUGAAGGUCUUAGGAUCGUAAAGCACUUUCGCCAGGGAUGAUAAUGACAGUACCUGGUAAAGAAACCCCGGCUAACUCCGUGCCAGCAGCCGCGGUAAUACGGAGGGGGUUAGCGUUGUUCGGAAUUACUGGGCGUAAAGCGUACGUAGGCGGAUCAGAAAGUAUAGGGUGAAAUCCCAGGGCUCAACCCUGGAACUGCCUUGUAAACUCCUGGUCUUGAGUUCGAGAGAGGUGAGUGGAAUUCCAAGUGUAG